AGUGAAGCGGCAACAGCUCAAAUUUGAAAUCUGGCCUCUUUGGGGUCCGAGUUGUAAUUUGUAGAGGAUGUUUCGGGUACCGCCUCGGUUUAAAUUUCUUGGAACAGAAUGUCAAAGAGGGUGAGAAUCCCGUCUUGGACCGGCGGUAGGGCCCAUGUGAAACUCCUUCGACGAGUCGAGUUGUUUGGGAAUGCAGCUCAAAAUGGGUGGUAAAUUUCAUCUAAAGCUAAAUAUUGGCCAGAGACCGAUAGCGCACAAGUAGAGUGAUCGAAAGAUGAAAAGCACUUUGAAAAGAGAGUUAAACAGUAUGUGAAAUUGUUGAAAGGGAAGCGCUUACAACCAGACUUGCGCGCGGCGGUUCCCCCUUCCUUUUGGUUGGGCUACUCCGUCGUGUCCAGGCCAACAUCGGUUCUGGGGGUCGGUUAAAGACCCUGGGAAUGUAUCUACCCUUCGGGCGUAGACUUAUAGCUCAGGGUGUCAUGCGACCUCCCGGGACCGAGGAACGCGCUUCG
rnacentral:rRNA from 1 species